AUGGCCGGCGCUGGAUCGAGCUCAUCCGCACCAGGAGAAGGCUUUCACUUGAUGAGUUGCCUAAAAGAAGUUUCGACACUCAGAGGUGACAACCACACUGAAUGGAGGAAGAAAGUUGAACUGGCAUUUGUUUGUGCUGAUCUUGACUGGGUUGUGGAGAAACCACAGCCGGUCAGACCCAUAGAGCCAGUAAGAGAGGCCACUGAUGAUGAUGCUGCAUGGUCUAAAAAGAAGGGGGACUAUGCUCCUUUGGAGCAGUCCUACCUCAUAGAUAACCAAAAGUGGGUCAAUGCAAACAAGAAGUGCAUGGCAUUUAUAAAGAAUACAAUCGAGAGCAUCAUUGUGGGCUCCAUUGCAGAAUGCACUUCCAUAGGGGAGUUGCUUACAAAGAUAAAGAGCCAGUUCACUAGCUCUUCAAAGAUAUAUGCCACCCAAGUGUUAGAGCAACUGGUGACACAGCGCUACACAGGUGGUAGUCAUGGAAUAAGAGAGCACAUCCCGAGGAUGAGUAAUAUGGCAGCAAAGCUAAAGCCCAUGGAUGAGGAUCUGGAG
rnacentral:rRNA from 1 species